CCGGGCCCGACGCACGGCGGGGGCUUCUGGCGCAGCCGCAUAGGGAGUCUACACUCGAUGCCCUUACAGUCCCUCUGCGUGGCCGCCUCCGUCCUGCUGGAGGAGAUCCCGCUCUGGCACUUCCCACCAUGGCAGUCCGGGUGGAACACCUCCGCCGUGAGGGUCCGCGGGUUGGUGGUCCUCGUGCCCUCCGUGUCCUCCCCCCGCGGGUGUGUGAACCCCGCGGUGUAGGGCCUGGACGGCGCGCUGUGCACCUGGCGGUGGAGGGUCUGAGCGUUCACCUGCUGGUACCCGGGGAAGACCUGCGGUGGCCUGGCUUGUACCGGCGGACUGACGUGUCGCCGCGGGGUAGAUGCCUGCCCCCCCCCGAACAGUACUCUCCAACGCACGGUUGGCUCCAGUCCUGAGCUUCUGGGAAGCAGUGGGACCCCCUGCAAAUCUGAGCAACACUUUGUCCUCUGCCAAAUAAAUAUGUGAAGCAUAGUAAAGAUAUUCCGGUGAGGAACGCCAUGUUUCUGGAAGAGUGGAGAACCUGCACAACGGAAUAGUGAUGAAAAAAGAGUCCAGGAAGCCUCAAUCACGCAUCCUGAGUCCCUUUUGAAUGAUCAGAUAUUGAGGAACUAUUGGAGGAAAACUCGAAAAUAAAUAAUAGAGCUUAGUCCCCCGUCUCCACCCGUAUAGUGUUUCUCAGACAAGUCGACCUUGUGUGUCCGCUGGAGAGCAGUGGGGCCCGGGUAGCGCUGGAUAGAAGGUCCGUCUGGGGGAGCGGCAGAGAGAGGGUCCGUGUAGCCCAAUGUGCAGCCUCAGGCCCGGGGAGGAGGGAUGGAGAGGAGAGCUCCGUCUACAUGUGGCGCUCCGCGGCUCUAAUCAUCAACAGGUUUCCCCCGUGGUCUUAAAUUAACCCCUGGCGUCUCAGAAAUACCAGUGCGCCCAGUCAUCCGUUGAUGCUGUGCACGUGUUAGAUAUUUGGAAUAUUUUUAUCUCUUUCUUUUUCCUUUCCUUUUUUUCAUGUUUCAGCUUUUAGGAAAUGCCGGACCAAGGGCCAUUGGAUAUUUAUUAUUUCCCUGAAAAAGUCAUGACAGUCUUUCAAAGAUGAUGAAGAGCCUAUUGUAGCCUACUUUUUCUUUUACACCCAAGUGGUCAAACAUUCUACAAUAUUAACGGCAAUGGUGAUGAUGAGUUGACCAUUCUUCAUUGACUGACAUCGAGCUGGAUGAGCCACCUCACCUCCGCCAGACAACAAGACAGAGUCUGGAGACGCCGGAAACUUCUCAACUAGAACGGGACUCAGAGACAGACCACUUCUCCUUUGGCUUCUCAAACCUAAGAGAGUCUCUGAACCAGCUGGAAGAGCAGGACCUGGACAACCUAGUGGCGAACCUGAGCCUGGAUCGGAC
ensembl:lncRNA